GUGAACCUGUCCUCCACUGGAGCCUGUGGGGUUUUCCACACUGCAAUGAAAACAAUUGAAAAGGGCAUUGUAAGGCACACUACACUGUAAAAACCAUUUGCUUGCUGUUCUCUCAAAUUUGUACUUCUCAUUGGUGAUUAAAAUUCACCUACAAACACUCACAUCCUGUCUUUCAUCAAGUGUUCCACUGGCUUGCUGAGCAUUGCAGAAGAGCUACAGGAGUGCCUCAGUCAGGAUUUGGCUCUAGGAGAAAUGAGCUUCUCCCUGUUUUGCUACCACUCUCAUCCUGAGGGAUCUAUGUCUAACCAGGAAUGUAAAUAUCUCUUUGCUUCCCCAGCUUAAUUUCUCACAAGUUUGGAAGGUUAAGCAUGAAUUUUCUUUUUUAGUACUGAGCCAAGUUUUUACUCUUUGAAGAUGUCAUUAAAAACACCUCAAAGUUCCUCUGCCUCCCACAAUGUUGUUUUCAGGAAUUGCUUGAAGGUAAACAGUAAUAUAACUUGGUGUUAUAAGGUGAGUAAUUAAGAAAUGAGAAGAAUUAAUGUAUUGUCCAUGAAAUUAGCAUUCUGAUAAUUGUUUGGUUUGUAAUUAUAUUGAAUUUAAUCUGACAAUAAUACUGAGAAACUGUAGGUUUUAAACCCACCCUUUGUCUGGGGGAAAGCUUUAAUUUGUUUGACACGAUUCAUUUGCAUCUAUGCUUUUCUAAGUUUUUUUUUUGCUAAACCUUGAAUGAGCUAUUUAUACAACCAGAUACAUUAACCCAGAGCAUAAUUCCAUUUCAAAAGGAAGAAUGGAGGGCAAAAUUGAAUGUGCAUUGUUCCUAAGUUAAUGGUUGUACAAUGUGCCUAAGUGCUUUGUUAUUGUAGUCUCAACAACACGUGAGCUGCUCAGAAUUCUUUGGAAUGUAGGUCACUUCUGAGGUGUGAAAGGUGAUAACCACUCUCCAUAUUUUACUACUGAUGGACCUCUCAAAUGAAAUACAUGUGCUGACAUCUCCGUGUUUUGAAGAUUUAAAGACCUCAAAUAUGGAGAAAAACAGACUGACCUUGAAACUCCUGUGUCAAAAUUCCCUUUUUUUAGCACUAUUGCUUCGCCCAAUAAAUUAACUUGCGGAAAAUCCUAUAAGGGAAGAUAGUAUUCCUUGUGUUAUAAAUGUAAGUCUCAUGCCAGAUAAUUCCUAGUGAAAUGUGUUAUUGAGGUGACUCCUCUGUUCCAAGGAACAACUUCUGAUGAGUGUGAAGGAGAAGAACUUCAGCCUUAAUGUUACAUAUAUUUUCCAUCUAUCAGAAGUAUUUCUGAUUCUCAACUGUUGCUGAAAUUAAGAUUCUGACCAACUUGCAUUGAAAUUUAUGGUAUUUAGGAAAAGAAACGCUUUUAGCAAUUUGACAAGUAUAAUUUUCCCUAGAAUGUUUUACAGUCAUCAGAAUGUCAGGAAUUUGUUGAACUUAAAUAAAUGCAAGCACAUACUAAAGUUUUCUCUGGUAACUUAAGAAGACAGCUUUGUAGUGUUUUGCUCACCUUGUUCUUUUACUUUUAUGCAAGUUCUGACAGCAGUAGAUGCUGAGGUAUUCCAGCAGCAGGGGUCUAGAGGAGCAUGGGAUUAGGCUCAUUUAAUGAUUUCAAACAAUUGUCCUCCAUGGUUUAUGUAGUUGCACCUAUUUUUCCAUUACUGCAUAUUGGUUAUUUGUGCAAAGUGAAACAUGCCAGUAGAAAAUGUUACACAAAUCUGGACCAAAAUAACCUGACUAGAGUGAAGGAGGGACUUGAAGCUCUUGGUCCUGUUUAGACCAAAUCUAAGUUGGACUUUGUGCUGAAAUUAAUUUUGUAAUGACAAAAUCUGGGCAGGACCUGAGGUUUUCCUUUCAAAAUUUAUGAACUACAGAAAAAUCUUGACCGGCUUUUCAUGCUAGUCAGAACAAAACAAGGACAAGUAGAAAAAGAGCAGAGUUUUUUGUUGCUUGCAUUUAAAGCUUCCUUUAUAAGAUGUUGCCAACAAAUUAACAUAUUUGAUAAUAAAUAAGCUGAAAAGGUUGAUUGAUUUGCCUGGAAAGAGGGGCUGUAAUCUUCAGAAGUCGCCUGUCCUGGAAACCAAGAUUUCAAUCCUUUUAUUUCUGGAUGUUCUUCCCCCUUAGUAAACUGCAGGAAGUUAUCAUUUUCAGAACAAAUUCACAAUUUAAAACUGAAAUUACACUGUUUCUACUGCAAAACGUCAUAAUUUUUCAUAAAGAAUUCACUGCUACUUAAAUUAAUAUAGUGAUAUCCAUAAACAUUAAGGUAAUACUGCUUGGUUAUAGAAAGCAGAUGAAUCAAUCCCCUCAGUGGGAAACACAAAGGGAAAAUGCUUUAAUACUGUAGGUGAAUUAUGAGUGUUUUUACUAGUCCUGUGAAGUGUGAUAUCUCUCCCCAUAUAUAUAUUAUGUAUAAAAUGUCAUUUUUCCUGUAUGCAGUUUGGUUUGGGUAAAGGCUGUUUUCCCACUAAUGGCAUUUUGAAUCAUCUUUGUUUUCUAGAAUCUCCUAAAAAUCAGCUGAUUUUUGGUAGUUGCUGUUUACAAUAAUGGUAAAAACAUCUAAAAGUGGUUGACAGAAGGUGGAACAGAUCCCACUGGAUUUUGCUACAUAGUUCAAAAAAGCCUUACUGUAAUUCUGGCCUCUUGUGUAGUGGAUGUGUAACAUAACAGGACAAAAAACCACCAAUUUUUUUGUCAAAAGUUUUUUUAAAAAUCUUGUUGCGUGAAGCAGGAAUGAGUGUGACGGAUACUGUGGGUAACAGCCAACAUUGUUUGCACAAUGAAGCUUUUUAUACAGAAAAAUUUAUAGUUCUGUUGAUCCAGCUCAUUGCAUCUCUUUUUCCAUACAAAACUAACGUUUGGGUUCAAACGUUCACCCUGAUGUCAAGGUCUGAUAUUUUCACUUCUCCUUUUCUCCUAAUUUUAUUGAUUUUUCUAGGCUAAGCAUUCCAUAGAUUAGUUAUAGUAAGAAGGCAUAUUGUGGAAUGUGAUAUAAUUGGCAACUGAUUGUUGAUGUAGGAGAUUUAUGUUGGCCUUAUAGUAAUAGUUUCUUAUAAUUGGAAACAUAUGUGAUUUUUAGUGUCUAGACUUGGGAACUUUCCCAGGAAGGAGUUCCAGGUGGUUAUCUAAGCAUAAUAGGCCAAAUGGCUACUUAAAGGCUGCAGGCAGACAUGGGAAAUAUGUAGACGUUGCUAGCAAAUGUAAUUAUUUCAUAAUUUGCAUUUUAUAAAUUGCAACAUAUCAAUUUACUUCUAAUGGUUUGACCAGCUGAUUUGUUUUGUAAAUUCAUGUUAAAAUGAAAUUUGCUUUCUCACUGAAAUAGUGUAAAAUACAGAGCUUAGAAAUUCUUGAUAUAUCUGGAUGACAAAAAGCCUUUAUCUAUAUCAUGUGCCUAAGUUAGUUGUGUUGAGAUAUGAAUGUUUAACUUGAAAUAGCAAAUAGUUACGUUUAUAGAAUGAAUUCUGUGAAAUUUGCUUUGGUGUAGUUAAUUCACCUGGCACCUUGAGUUUUGUCUUUGUUUGCCAGUAGUCUGAUUUCUGGAAGGACCUCAGAAAGGAAACAUGUCUGGAAGUUGUUCAGCCUACUAAAACAUGUGGUGAUUUGAUAUUUCCCUGAUCCCAGUUUGCCUUGAACACGCUCUGCACGUUAAAACAUCCCCGGAGAAGGAAAGCGCAGUUGGCUAUCCCAGCAUGAAUACUCUGCAAAUAUUGUUCUGGGACCUGCACAGCCUGUGACUCACAAUGAAUAUUUCCAGCUCUAGUUCUGACUGCACAAUAGGAAAUGGAAAAGAAAAUAAGUGAUUUGCUGGGGCCUAACACUGGAUGAGUUGAUCAUUGUGGCUUGCACAGAGAACAUGGAAGAGCUGCACUAGAAGAUGUGAAAAGUCCUCUCAAUUCAGUUUCCAUGUGCCAGAUGGUUGUUCCUUGUUGUAUUUUUUUUAAUCCUACCUGUUAAGAUAGCAAAGAACGACAUACGUUAUCUGGCUCUGCAGCCAAGUGUGUGGUCCAAAUUAUUUUCACAGAAUGCCUGACAAAGUCUGCUUGCUUGUCUGCCUGCCUCAAUCAUUUUUCUCAACUAAUGAGAAAAAUCUGCCAAGCAUUGUUGGGCUAAGGCACUAAUUAUUCUCAAACAAAUGUUUCAAUUUUGCACAAGUUAGGAAGUGUCUCUGUUUUAAAUGAUUACAUGCCAAGAUGCCAGACUAGUUAAACCAGUUUCGUUCAUCAAUAUGUCUGGAAGUCCCAGAGGACCAAAGAGAUGAAAUCAUUAAAAGCAAAUGGGUCUGCAGUUUUAGGUGCUCUUUUAGGAAAUAUUGCUGCAAUACUUCUUUUUGUGUAUGUUCAUUUUUAAUGAGAAAUAGUAGGUCUAUUUUCCAUCUGGAAAUGUUGUUUCUUGUGAUAUUCCUGCAUUGCUCCUCACAUUCUCUUGGUUUUGGCACUGAAUUAAAGGAAAAUUUGUGACUAGUCACGCAAGACUGGCCCCUGUAAUCCUUUCUCAGAUUUUGUAGCCUGCUCAUCAUCACCCUAUUUGAGCAUUAAGGAAGUUGGUCUCUGAUAGUGACAACAUUGGAAAGUAUCUCCUCAUGAAACUUCCAGUUGAAUUUGGCAGUUGGAAGAAGCUCGAGCAAUUUAAAGGAUGUUUACAGCUCGUAUUCCAAGCAAUGGUGCUACCCUUGGGCCUGAACUCCAUGAUUCCCUACUCAGAAGCAGCUGUGAGCUUCCAGAAGAGCAUUGUCCCACCUCUGGACAAGACAUGCUUAGGUCACAUCUACUUGUGACCAGGUUCAAGGUUCUGAUGUUUUGGUGUGUCACUAGGGAGGUGUGUGCCUCUGAGCAGCCGUACCUUUGCUGAUCUGCUACACUUUUGCCAUCUGCCUUUCCCACUGUUUGUCCUCAUCCCAAAAUUGCUCUAAAAGAAGCAGAUAGAUUGCCAGGUUUAGGGGGCUCUGCUGGG